UACAGAGGGGCAAGCGUUAUUCGGAAUUAUUGGGCGUAAAGGGCGCGUAGGCGGCCUGGCAAGUGGAAGGUGAAAUCCCUCGGCUUAACCGAGGAACUGCCCUCCAAACUGCUUGGCUUGAGUCCGGGAGAGGUGAGUGGAAUUCCUGGUGUAGCGGUGAAAUGCGCAGAUAUCAGGAGGAACACCAAUGGCGAAGGCAGCUCGCUGGAACGGUACUGACG
rnacentral:rRNA from 1 species